AUACGUGGGGUGCGAGCGUUGUCCGGAAUUACUGGGCGUAAAGAGCUCGUAGGUGGUUUGUCGCGUCGUCUGUGAAAUUCCGGGGCUUAACUCCGGGCGUGCAGGCGAUACGGGCAUAACUUGAGUACUGUAGGGGAGACUGGAAUUCCUGGUGUAGCGGUGAAAUGCGCAGAUAUCAGGAGGAACACCGGUGGCGAAGGCGGGUCUCUGGGCAGUAACUGACGCUGAGGAGCGAAAGCAUGGGUAGCGAACAGGAUUAGAUACCCUGGUAGUCCAUGCCGUAAACGGUGGGCGCUAGGUGUAGGGGUCUUCCACGACUUCUGUGCCGUAGCUAACGCAUUAAGCGCCCCGCCUGGGGAGUACGGCCGCAAGGCUAAAACUCAAAUGAAUUGACGGGG
rnacentral:rRNA from 1 species